rnacentral:rRNA from 1 species
UACAGAGGGUGCGAGCGUUAAUCGGAAUUACUGGGCGUAAAGCGUGCGUAGACGGCUAUCUAAGUCGGGUGUGAAAGCCCCGGGCUCAACCUGGGAAUUGCAUUCGAGACUGAAUAGCUAGGGUACGGUAGAGGGAAGCGGAAUUUCCGGUGUAGCGGUGAAAUGCGUAGAUAUCGGAAGGAACAUCAGUGGCGAAAGCGGCUUCCUGGACCAGUACCGACGUCAGGCACGAAAGCGUGGGGAGCAACAGG